rnacentral:rRNA from 1 species
GUCGAGAAUUUUGGGCAAUGGACGAAAGUCUGACCCAGCAAUGCCGCGUGCGGGAUGAAGGUCUUCGGAUUGUAAACCGCUGUCGAGGGGGACGAAAUAUGACGGUACCCCUGGAGGAAGCCACGGCUAUAUAGGUGACAGCAGCCGCGGUAAGACGUAGGAGGCGAGCCUUGUUCGGAUUUAUUGGGCGUAAAGGGUCCGCAGCGGGUUGAUUAAGUCUGACGUGAAAUCUCUGAGCUUGACUCAGAAAUUGCGUUGGAGACUGGUUGACUAGAGUGUUGGAUAGGUAAUUGGAAUUCCAGGUGUAGCGGUGGAAUGCGUAGAUAUCUGGAAGAACAUCGAAGGCGAAGGCAGAUUACUGGACAACAACUGACCCUCAGGGACGAAAGCAUGGGGAGCAAACAGGAUUAGAUACCCCGGUAGUCC